rnacentral:rRNA from 1 species
UACGUAGGGUCCAAGCGUUGUCCGGAUUUAUUGGGCGUAAAGAGCUCGUAGGCGGUCUGUCGCGUCGGUCGUGAAAACUUGGGGCUUAACCCUGAGCUUGCGGUCGAUACGGGCAUGACUGGAGUUCGGUAGGGGAGACUGGAAUUCCUGGUGUAGCGGUGAAAUGCGCAGAUAUCAGGAGGAACACCGGUGGCGAAGGCGGGUCUCUGGGCCGAUACUGACGCUGAGGAGCGAAAGCGUGGGGAGCGAACAGG